rnacentral:tRNA from 2 species
GUCCCGGUAGUAUAAUGGAUAAAACGGGGGAUUCCGGUUCCUCAGAUGCGGGUUCGAUUCCUGUUCGGGACGCCA